rnacentral:rRNA from 1 species
ACGUAGGUGGCAAGCGUUGUCCGGAAUUAUUGGGCGUAAAGCGUACGCAGGCGGUUUCUUAAGUCUGAUGUGAAAGCCCUCGGCUUAACCGAGGAACUGCCUGUCAGACUGUGAGGCUUGAGACCAGGAGAGGUGAGUGGAAUUCCCAGUGUAGCGGUGAAAUGCGUAGAUAUUGGGAGGAACACCAGUGGCGAAGGCGGCUCACUGGACUGGUACUGACGCUGAGGCGCGAAAGCGUGGGGAGCAAACAGGA